rnacentral:rRNA from 1 species
CCAGACUCCUACGGGAGGCAGCAGUGGGGAAUUUUGGACAAUGGGCGCAAGCCUGAUCCAGCUAUUCCGCGUGUGGGAUGACGGCCCUCGGGUUGUAAACCACUUUAGUAGAGAACGAAAAGGAGCUAUCGAAUAAAUAGCUCUGCUGACGGUACUCUAAGAAUAAGCACCGGCUAAUUACGUGCCAGCAGCCGCGGUAAUACGUAAGGGGCAAGCGUUAUCCGGAUUUACUGGGUGUAAAGGGUGAGUAGGCGGCGAUGCAAGUCAUAUGUGAAAUUCCGGGGCUUAACUCCGGAGCUGCAUAAGAAACUGCGUUGCUUGAGUGCAGGAGAGGCAAGCGGAAUUCCUAGUGUAGCGGUGAAAUGCGUAGAUAUUAGGAAGAACACCGGUGGCGAAGGCGGCUUGCUGGACUGUAACUGGCGCUGAGUCACGAAAGCGUGGGGAGCGAACAGGAUUAGAUACCCCAGUACU